AUGAUUCUGGUGUCGAGUUAUAUGUUCACAGGAGUAGAUAUCCAAUGGAUACUCACAUCGCUCUUAAUUAGCAAUUAUAAAGCAAGGUACAUUUUGGAUGCCGGAAGAUGAUCAAGCUCAUUGGAGAACCGAACACGAUAAAGAUACAUGCUUCCGCACAGUGUCCCGUCGUAAAUUUUAAACCCAUAUUUUUAUAGUAUGUGUAGUCUUAUCUACACAACUAAAUGUUGGUAAUUAUAUUUAAAACCGUUAAAUAGUAAUUAAGGUGUUAC
rnacentral:lncRNA from 1 species